GCACUGCUGAGGAGUCCCACAAUAGGAUGAAAAGGCCGUCCAGUGC
rfam:Schistosoma mattheei strain Denwood, Zambia genome assembly, scaffold: SMTD_scaffold0014881